UACGGAGGGUGCGAGCGUUGUUCGGAAUUCCUGGGCGUAAAGCGCGUGUAGGCGGUCUUCUAAGUCUGGUGUGAAAGCCCGGGGCUCACCCCCGGAAGUGCAUUGGAUACUGGAAGACUGGAGUACCGGAGAGGAGGGUGGAAUUCCUGGUGUAGCGGUGAAAUGCGUAGAUAUCAGGAGGAACACCUGUGGCGAAGGCGGCCCUCUGGACGGAUACUGACGCUGAGACGCGAAAGCGUGGGGAGCAAACAGG
rnacentral:rRNA from 1 species